rnacentral:lncRNA from 1 species
AAGACCUCCAUUUUUCUUACCAUCUGCAGCACCUCUCUAGGGGAGAUUUCAUCACAGUGCCUCCGGCAAUGGACUGCAUACAAUUUUCUGUAUAGAUGAUGGGACUCGAUCUUAAAAUGUAUUCCAAGUAUUGGGCAAUAACAGAGCAGUACAGAGAAGAUCUAAUGGUCAAGUUUUUAAGCACAUGGCGCAUUUCUACUUUUUAUAAAAAGAAUAUUAUUGUACAGUUUCUCUUGCCUGAAAAACUCACUUGGACAAAGCCCAGCACUGGUCUCAUUGAAGGAUAGAAGAUGAAGCUGAGAAGCUAUGGAGAGGCAAACAGAGGAAGAGAAGGGUAACAGAAAGAAGGAAGACCUCGGGCAUGGACAAAUGGAUGGUGGCCUGGUGUGGCUUCUCUGCUCUUGGCUGUGUUCCCCCGCACCAAUUAAUCACCAUACCCCAGUGUGACAGGCCCAGCUCUUUGCUGCAGCUCAUCCUCCGGCUGUUCCGGUGAUUACUCUAAAGCCUUCCCCAGAUGCAAGAAUUUCUCAAUGUUUUUUUCUUCCCUAUUGCUCCAUGUGCUGGCUACUGCACCGAAAGGGGCUGUGGUUCCC